rnacentral:lncRNA from 1 species
AAAAAUUGAAAAAAAGUUGUAAUUUAAUUUCCCUUGUAUCCAACAUAUUAAUGUAUUGAAGUAUAAAAAAAGAAAAAAUUUCGAAAAAAAAAGUGAGCAAAAAAAAUCGAGCAAAAAAAAAGAAUUGAAAGUUUGUUACUGUUUUCAUUUAUUCCUACUUCGAUCAUCAAGUUUCCCUUCCUACCAUUAUUUACCCAUCCCAACGCCACACUCUAAACCAAAUUUUUUUUCUUUGUUCAGCCUACCCUACACCCGAC